ensembl:piRNA 21ur-15156 ncRNA
UAUUUUUACAUCAAGAGUUAA